GACUUGCGAUUUUGGAUGCGAAAAGCUGGAUUUGGCGACUAGUGCGAGCUAUUUUAAGAAGCAGUAGAAGGACAGAAGUCCACAAUGCCCGGUAGAGGGUAGAAGAAGCAAUGCCAAUGGGAAACUCAAACACAAAUUUCAAUACAAGAAAGCCCUAACCAGGCCCUAACCUAGCGAAACGAUGUUGAAAACAACCCCAAAAUAACUGUUCAAUUCUCAAUGGACGAAGCAACUUACCAUGAUGCAGUAAAUCUAGAUUGAAGACUCGUUUCGUGCAAUUGGCACAACAGGAAACCUCCGAAAAUUUUACUACGAGGAAAAUUGUAAAAGAAGAAACGUGGAUCAGUAUUGCUUAUACAGCCAGGUCAUCAUCUUGGUAGAGUGAGUCUUAGCUUAGUAGAACUCUAGUAGAACUGAACAACCAGUGUCUUAAUGACUAUACCAUUAUGUUUUAGGCAUGCAUGGUACUCCACUUAAAAACAUUUUCUAAAUUUUUUGCAAAUGUGCAUGUGUGUUAAAGUGUAAAUAAAAAGUAUUAAAGAGCUAUACAAUAGAAGCAAUUCCUU